GACGUAGGGCGCGAGCGUUGUCCGGAUUUAUUGGGCGUAAAGAGCUCGUAGGCGGCUUGUCGCGUCGACUGUGAAAACCCGCGGCUCAACUCGUGGGCGGGCAGCUGAUACGGGCAGGCUGGAGUCGGUGAGGGAGACGUGGAAUUCCUGGUGUGAGCGGUGAAAUCGCGCAGAUAUCAGGAGGAACACCAUGGCGAAGGCAGCUCGCUGGGACGUGACUGACGCCUGAGACGCGAAGCGUGGGAGCAAACAG
rnacentral:rRNA from 1 species